AUUAACAGCGACGGCUAAUUAUUGAGCUUCAGCAAGCCCAGAGCUGAGCUCCCCCGAGCCCCACAGUGCCCACCUGGCCGUGGGCACCGCUCGGGGCGGGGGGGGGAGCGGGCACCCGUGCUGGGUGGGUGCCGGCCGGGGGUCCCCACCGCUGCCACGGCUUCAGGGCGUGCGUGGCAGUGCCGUGGCCCAGCUGGCCGGUGCCACCGGCUGUCACCCGGCAAUGUCCCUGCACGGGGCAGGGGGGACAGGGACAGCCCCGACGUGUCCCCCUGCACCCCCCAAAAUCCAUGGGAUGGGUGAAGCCGGAGGGUGCGUGCGGGACGCAGGGGCCCAGUGCCAUCCCCUGGCAGCUGGCAGUAAAUGAGCAGUCAUUAACGAGACGUGUUAAUUAGCCGCCCGCCCUUGGCGGGGAUGUGGCGGUUUGGCCUGAGCUGAGCUGCCGGGAAGUUGCCAGUUAAAUGCAAUUUAUUUCCAUUUAAUUUUAAUUUCGGUUUAAUUGCUUCUCCACUUGCUCCUUUGGCUCCAGUCUGGGGUCGGGGAUGGUGGCACUGGUGCCAUCGCUGGUGGCACUGGAGGACAGGGACAGGGCCCUCUGCAGGACACUAUCCCUUGGGCACGGCUGUACUGGGAUGGGGCUGUACCGCAGGGUCCGUACUGGGAUGGGUUGUACUGGGGGGUCUGUACAGGUGGGACUGUACCAGAGGGUCCGUACUGGUCAGGCUGUACCGGUGGGGCUGUACCGGAGGGUCUGUACUGGUCGGUCUGUACUGGUGAGGCUGUACCAUUGGGUCCGUACUGGAGGGUCUGUACCAGUCUGGCCGAACCGGCGAGGCUGUACCACAAGGUCCAUAGCGGUCAGGCUGUACUGGCGGGGCUGUACUGGCAGGUCUGUACUGGUCCGGCUCUACUGGUGGGUUGUCGAUGCGGAAGUCACGGACACUGCACACAAUCAAUAUGAUCAAGCAGAUGCUACUUUAUUGCCCAAAUAGCUUGGUUUAAGUAUACAUUCUAGUUCCUGCUCAUGCGUAUUGUCUGCAAUAUUGUUGCCAAUAGACAAUCCAUGCUGAAAUUGAUGACUGCGAAUGUGAGUAAUAAAAUACUUACUUUGUCU